UUAAGUUAUUAAGGGCGCACGGUGGAUGCCUUGGCACUAGAAGCCGAUGAAGGACGUUACUAACGACGAUAUGCUUUGGGGAGCUGUAAGUAAGCUUUGAUCCAGAGAUUUCCGAAUGGGGAAACCCAGCAUGAGUUAUGUCAUGUUAUCGAUAUGUGAAUACAUAGCAUAUCAGAAGGCACACCCGGAGAACUGAAACAUCUUAGUACCCGGAGGAAGAGAAAGAAAAUUCGAUUCCCUUAGUAGCGGCGAGCGAAACGGGAAGAGCCCAAACCAACAAGCUUGCUUGUUGGGGUUGUAGGACACUCUAUACGGAGUUACAAAGGACGACAUUAGACGAAUCAUCUGGAAAGAUGAAUCAAAGAAGGUAAUAAUCCUGUAGUCGAAAAUGUUGUCUCUCUUGAGUGGAUCCUGAGUACGACGGAGCACGUGAAAUUCCGUCGGAAUCUGGGAGGACCAUCUCCUAAGGCUAAAUACUCUCUAGUGACCGAUAGUGAACCAGUACCGUGAGGGAAAGGUGAAAAGCACCCCGGAAGGGGAGUGAAAUAGAACCUGAAACCGUGUGCUUACAAGUAGUCAGAGCCCGUUAAUGGGUGAUGGCGUGCCUUUUGUAGAAUGAACCGGCGAGUUACGAUUUGAUGCAAGGUUAAGCAGUAAAUGUGGAGCCGUAGCGAAAGCGAGUCUGAAUAGGGCGUUUAGUAUUUGGUCGUAGACCCGAAACCAGGUGAUCUACCCUUGGUCAGGUUGAAGUUCAGGUAACACUGAAUGGAGGACCGAACCGACUUACGUUGAAAAGUGAGCGGAUGAACUGAGGGUAGCGGAGAAAUUCCAAUCGAACCUGGAGAUAGCUGGUUCUCUCCGAAAUAGCUUUAGGGCUAGCCUCAAGUGAUGAUUAUUGGAGGUAGAGCACUGUUUGGACGAGGGGCCCCUCUCGGGUUACCGAAUUCAGACAAACUCCGAAUGCCAAUUAAUUUAACUUGGGAGUCAGAACAUGGGUGAUAAGGUCCGUGUUCGAAAGGGAAACAGCCCAGACCACCAGCUAAGGUCCCAAAAUAUAUGUUAAGUGGAAAAGGAUGUGGCGUUGCCCAGACAACUAGGAUGUUGGCUUAGAAGCAGCCAUCAUUUAAAGAGUGCGUAAUAGCUCACUAGUCGAGUGACACUGCGCCGAAAAUGUACCGGGGCUAAACAUAUUACCGAAGCUGUGGAUUGUCCUUUGGACAAUGGUAGGAGAGCGUUCUAAGGGCGUUGAAGCAUGAUCGUAAGGACAUGUGGAGCGCUUAGAAGUGAGAAUGCCGGUGUGAGUAGCGAAAGACGGGUGAGAAUCCCGUCCACCGAUUGACUAAGGUUUCCAGAGGAAGGCUCGUCCGCUCUGGGUUAGUCGGGUCCUAAGCUGAGGCCGACAGGCGUAGGCGAUGGAUAACAGGUUGAUAUUCCUGUACCACCUAUAAUCGUUUUAAUCGAUGGGGGGACGCAGUAGGAUAGGCGAAGCGUGCGAUUGGAUUGCACGUCUAAGCAGUAAGGCUGAGUAUUAGGCAAAUCCGGUACUCAUUAAGGCUGAGCUGUGAUGGGGAGAAGACAUUGUGUCUUCGAGUCGUUGAUUUCACACUGCCGAGAAAAGCCUCUAGAUAGAAAAUAGGUGCCCGUACCGCAAACCGACACAGGUAGUCAAGAUGAGAAUUCUAAGGUGAGCGAGCGAACUCUCGUUAAGGAACUCGGCAAAAUGACCCCGUAACUUCGGGAGAAGGGGUGCUCUUUAGGGUUAACGCCCAGAAGAGCCGCAGUGAAUAGGCUCAAGCGACUGUUUAUCAAAAACACAGGUCUCUGCUAAACCGUAAGGUGAUGUAUAGGGGCUGACGCCUGCCCGGUGCUGGAAGGUUAAGAGGAGUGGUUAGCUUCUGCGAAGCUACGAAUCGAAGCCCCAGUAAACGGCGGCCGUAACUAUAACGGUCCUAAGGUAGCGAAAUUCCUUGUCGGGUAAGUUCCGACCCGCACGAAAGGCGUAACGAUUUGGGCACUGUCUCAACGAGAGACUCGGUGAAAUCAUAGUACCUGUGAAGAUGCAGGUUACCCGCGACAGGACGGAAAGACCCCGUGGAGCUUUACUGUAGCCUGAUAUUGAAAUUCGGCACAGCUUGUACAGGAUAGGUAGGAGCCUUUGAAACGUGAGCGCUAGCUUACGUGGAGGCGCUGGUGGGAUACUACCCUAGCUGUGUUGGCUUUCUAACCCGCACCACUUAUCGUGGUGGGAGACAGUGUCAGCCGGGCAGUUUGACUGGGGCGGUCGCCUCCUAAAAGGUAACGGAGGCGCUCAAAGGUUCCCUCAGAAUGGUUGGAAAUCAUUCAUAGAGUGUAAAGGCAUAAGGGAGCUUGACUGCGAGACCUACAAGUCGAGCAGGGUCGAAAGACGGACUUAGUGAUCCGGUGGUUCCGCAUGGAAGGGCCAUCGCUCAACGGAUAAAAGCUACCCCGGGGAUAACAGGCUUAUCUCCCCCAAGAGUUCACAUCGACGGGGAGGUUUGGCACCUCGAUGUCGGCUCAUCGCAUCCUGGGGCUGUAGUCGGUCCCAAGGGUUGGGCUGUUCGCCCAUUAAAGCGGUACGCGAGCUGGGUUCAGAACGUCGUGAGACAGUUCGGUCCCUAUCCGUCGUGGGCGUAGGAAAUUUGAGAGGAGCUGUCCUUAGUACGAGAGGACCGGGAUGGACAUACCUCUGGUGUACCAGUUGUCGUGCCAACGGCAUAGCUGGGUAGCUAUGUGUGGACGGGAUAAGUGCUGAAAGCAUCUAAGCAUGAAGCCCCCCUCAAGAUGAGAUUUCCCAACUUCGGUUAUAAGAUCCCUCAAAGAUGAUGAGGUUAAUAGGUUCGAGGUGGAAGCAUGGUGACAUGUGGAGCUGACGAAUACUAAUCGAUCGAAGACUUAAUCAA
rnacentral:rRNA from 1 species